rnacentral:lncRNA from 1 species
CGUUACUCUGCUAAAAUCUCACUCGCACCCAUCACCAAAGCUCAAUACUCCCAAGUUUACUCAAGGUUCAUCAUUAGGACUUUGAGAAAACUGAGCUAAAGCCACUACAAAAUCAAAAUACACCCAAAAUCAGUAUCAAAGAACUAAGAAAGGCAAGAAGAACAAAAGGUUCGAGAAGAAAAAGAAAGGAACUCGAAGGAGGAACAAAAGAAAUCACCGCGCGGCCAAAGGAGAAUACUUACCCGAGGUAACUUCGAACACCAGAAUCUUGCCGGAGUUUUAAGGCUCCGGUGAGGUGUUUACUUUCCGAUCUGUGUCUCUGAGUCCAUUGUGGUUGGAUUUUAUGUUCCUCUUACACGUCUGACAUGAUAUUUGCGAAUGUUUCAUCGUUGAUGUAUGAUGAUUCUUUGAACUAAGCACUGUUUUAAGUUGUUAGAUCUGUCGAAUCCAUUUGGGCAAGCUGGUGAGGCUGAUGUUGUUUUAGAACUAGUAUAUACUUGCAUGUUUCGUUUUUCUGGAUUAGCCAUUGUUGGACGAGAUCUGUGUGAGAUGGAGGAAUGAAAAGGGAUUAGCCAUGAAAAUCGCAUGAGAUUCUUUUUUACAUAACCGGUGUGUGUCGGUUUUGUUAUGUGUUUG